rnacentral:tRNA from 1 species
UCCCUGUAGGACUAGUGGUUAGGCCACAACGCUCUCAGCGUUACGGAUAGGGUUCUAUUCCCGGCCAGGGAA